rnacentral:misc_RNA from 1 species
GGAAGUAAAGUCGUAACAAGGUCUCCGUUGGUGAACCAGCGGAGGGAUCAUUACAGAGUUGCAAAACUCCCAAACCAUUGUGAACGUUACCUAUCCCGUUGCUUCGGCGGGCGGCCCGGGCCCCGCGCCCGGCGCCCCCCGGCCCCCCGUGGGCGCCCGCCGGAGGUAAACCAAACCCUUGAAUUGCAUGGCCUCUCUGAGUCUUCUGUACUAAAUAAGUCAAAACUUUCAACAACGGAUCUCUUGGUUCUG